rnacentral:rRNA from 1 species
UGCCGGCGACAAACCGGAGGAAGGUGGGGAUGACGUCAAGUCCUCAUGGCCCCUUAUGUCCAGGGCUACACACGUGCUACAAUGGUCGGUACAGAGCGAAGCAAGGCCGCAGGCGGAGCAAAUCGCAGAAAGCCGAUCCCAGUUCGGAUUGGAGUCUGAAACCCGACUCCAUGAAGUUGGAAUCGCUAGUAAUCGCGCAUCAGCAUGGCGCGGUGAAUACGUUCCCGGGGUUUC